GCCAAUCAAUCUACAAAGCCGCUCGGCUUUGGGGUGUGGGAAGAAACGAGCACCUGGAGUAAAUCCAGAUCUUUGUUACUGUGAACGAACAGCUCUACCAGCUGCAUCACUGAGCCACACAACAACGAUUGCAAAACAGCAGAAUGGUAUAAGAUUGUAGUGCAUUCUGAAGUUAUGCAAAAAAAAAGUAUAAGAUCAGACUAACUGAUUGAGGUAGAGUUAAUAGUAACAGUGCAUGGCUGCACCUCUGGGAAUGGAUAAUGGGAUUGAGAUCCCUAUGAGCAUAAAAGGAGUUUGGGAUUACGAUAUGGUGAGUUUGCAGAACAGUCUUAGAUGCAGGAUCUUGGUGGGUUUUUACGGAAUGCUGGAAGCAGGGCUCUAGUGAUUUUUUUAAAUGCAUAGUUACAGACCCGUGGUGAAUUUAUAAGUUAUGUUGAAGCAAGUGGCUAUUGAAAUUACAAGGAGCUUGAGAAUAGCCCCCAACAGUCCUGGAAACACAACCCUGGCAAGUUUAAAAGGAGAGUGAGAAAUAUUACCAAUAUGCAAAAUGCUAACUGUCAGAAUUUCUAAACAAAUAAAAAAUAGAUUAUUGAAGUUUUACUGUAAUUUUUUUAAAUAAUUGUAAAAAGCCUUCUUCUUGCUUAUGGCGUGCACAUCCUAAAGUUGUAGGACUAUUUGAUCUAAUUUGAUUGUGCACGCCAGGUUGAUUGCAUUUGUUGAAACAGGUCGGACCACGUGAAUGUUGCAAUCUCCCACUUUAUUGUAAGAAAUGACAACUAUUGAAAGAAUUUGGCUGAGGAAUUUAUAUUUGACAAAAAACAGGUUAUAUACAUUUGGGUGUGAAGAAGAUAGAAAUUCAUGAUCUGAUGGCAUGUACUUGGUAAGUGUCAAUAUUCUAUGUCGAAGAGGGUGAGCUGAGGUGGAAGAGAGGUAUUGGAGUCAGGGAGAUUAAAAGAGAGGUAAAAGAUCACAGCAAUGAAGGAGGAAAGUCUAUCCUGGCCUGGAUCUCACAUGGAGCCAAUGAAGGGAGGGAGAAAAAUACUGGGCAUUCAACCGAUCGGACCGAAACUUGGCACACUCGCAGCACAUCAGAACGGUGAGUGAACUGGCAAAAAUUCGAGGAGCUAUCGCGAAUCGUUUUCGAGCAAAUAGAAAGACCUCCAAACCGGAAGGUAACAAGAUCAGAGUUUUAGUUAUGAGAGAUUGGAUAGGUUGCAUUUUUGAGAAGGAUGAAGAGUGAUUUAUUUGAGGUAUAUUAAAUUAUGAGGGUUGGAUCAUAAAUAGCCAAAAAACAUUCCCCUCAGCAAAGGCAGAGCAUGCAUAGGUUUAAAUUGAGGGAUUUCAAAGGGAUUUAUGAGUAUUUGUUUCUCACCCAGACGUUUGCUUAAAUUUAAAAUGGACUGCCUGAGGGGUUAGUGGGGGCAGGUAUUUUCUCGACAUUUAGAUUCAACUAGUUCUGUUAUAAUGAGAUAGUGGUGUUCCUAAGAAGGGUUUCAGCCCGAAUCUUUGCCUAUUUCCUUCGCUCCGUAGAUGCUGCCUCACCCGCUGAGUUUCUCCAGCAUUUUUGUCUACCUUGCAUUGUAGAAAAUUGGGUUAUAAAAACAAUUGAGUCAAUGAGGAAAAGAGGUUUAAAGACUGGAGAGUUUUAAAUUCAUAAUAAUAAAACCAUUUCUAUAUUUCUCCUGCAGGAUUAAAAAAAAUAAAUGUCCUUUUAAUAGCUUUAAGUUUAUUUUUUAUACCUGAUAAAAAUAUGAAAAUAUGAAAAGAUACAUUCUUUAUAGUAUCUUUGCACAAGUCAAUUUCAACGGUAGAGCAUGGAAGGCUAUAAGUCGAGCACUGGAACACUGGAAAAUUAUAUUGGUCUCUAUGGAUACUUGAUUGCCAGCAUAAACACAAUGGAACAAAGUUCCCUUGUCAAUAUCAUGCCUUAACUACGAGAUGUUGAUUUCUAGUGCAUUAAUAACCUGGAUAAUGACAUUGUUAUGAUAAGAGAACUCGAGGUAAAGAAACCGCUUGGAGGUAGUGAUCAUAAUAUGAUUAGUUUUAAUCUGCAAUUUGAGAAGGAGAACGUUAAAUCGGAAGUGUCAGUGAUGCAGUUGAACAAAGGGGACUAUGAAGGCAUGAGAGGGGAGCUAGCCAAGGUAGACUGGAAAGGGAUCCUAGCAGGAAUGACGGUGGAACAGCAAUGGCAGGAAUUUCUGGGCAUAAUCCAGAAGACGCAGGAUCAUUUAAUUCUAAAAAGGAAGAAAGAUUCUAAGGGGAGUAGGAGGCAACCGUGGCUGAGAAGAGAAGUUAGGGAUAGAAUAAAACUAAAAGAAAAGAUGUAUAGCACUGCAAAUAUUAGCCGGAAGCCAGAGGAUUGGGAAACUUUCAUAGGACAACAGAAGGAAACAAAAUGGGCAACACAGGCUGAAAAGAUGAAGUACGAAGGGAAGCUGGCCAAGAAUAUAAAGAAGGACACUAAAAGCUCCUUUAGAUAUGUUAAGAGAAAAAGAGUAGCAAAGGCAAAUGUGGGUCCCUUGAAGGCAGACACGGGUGAAAUUAUUAUGGGCAACAACAAAAAUGGCAGAAGAGUUGAAUAGGUACUUCGGAUCUGUCUUCACUAAGGAAGACACAAACAAUCUCUCAGAUGUACUGGAGGACACAGGAUCUAAGGGGAUAGAGGAACUGAAAGAAAUUUUCAUUAGUCAAGAAAUAGUAUUAGGUAGGCUUAUGGGCCUCAGGUAGGUGGCUCUAGAAAUAUUGGACACAUAGAUGAUCAUUUUCCAAUGUACAAUAGAUUCAGGAUCAGUUCCUGUGGAUUGGAGGAUAGCUAAUGUUAUCACACUUUUCAAGAAAGGAAUGAGAGAGAAAAUGGGGAAUUACAGACCAGUUAGCCUGACUUCGGUGGUGGGAAAGACGCUGGAGUCAAUUAUUACAGAGAUCAUAAUGGGGCAUUUGGAUAGCAGUAAAAAGAUUAGUCCAAGUCAACAUGGAUUUAUGAAAGGGAAAUCAUGCUUGACUAAUCUUCAGGAAUUGUUUGAGGAUGUGACAAGUAAAAUGGAUGAAGGGGUGCCAAUGGAUGUAAUGUAUCUAGACUUUCAGAAAGCCUUUGAUAAGGUCCCGCACGGGAGACUGGUGACUAAAAUUAGAGCACAUGGUAUUUGGAAUAGGGUGUUGACAUCAAGUCAAGUCAAGUUUAUUCGUCACAUACACAUAUCGCGGACUUUGUGCAAAAAACAAACAAACAAACUACAAAUAGAAUGGAACAGAAUCACAUAUUCUUUUACAUAUUAUAUAUUGUGGGUGGAAGGAAAAAGGGAAAAAAAACAGCAAUUUAAAAAAAAAACAGUAGAAUGGUACAGUAAAGUUAGUCCCUGGUGAGAUAGGAGUUUACAGUCCUCAUGGCCUCUGGGAAGAAAAUCCUUCUCAAACCUCUCCAUUCUCACAGCAUGGCAACGGAGGCGUUUGCCUGAUCGUAGCAGCUGGAACAGUCCGUUGCAGGGGUGGAAGGGGUCUCCCAUGAUCUUAUUGGCUCUGGAGUUGCACCUCCUGAUGUAUUGUUCCUGCAGAGGGUCGUGAAGUUUCCAUAGUGCGAAAAUUGGUUGGCAGACAGGAAGCAAAGAGUAGGAGUGAAUGGAUCCUUUUCAGAAUGGCAGGCAGUGGCGAGUGGAGUGCCGCAAGGCUCGGUGUUGGGGCCGCAACUGUUUACCAUAUA